rnacentral:rRNA from 1 species
GACGAACGCUGGCGGCGUGCUUAACACAUGCAAGUCGAACGGAAAGGCCCUGCUUUUGUGGGGUGCUCGAGUGGCGAACGGGUGAGUAACACGUGAGUAACCCGCCCCUGACUUUGGGAUAACUUCAGGAAACUGGGGCUAAUACCGGAUAGGAGCUCCUGCUGCAUGGUGGGGGUUGGAAAGUUUCGGCGGUUGGGGAUGGACUCGCGGCUUAUCAGCUUGUUGGUGGGGUAGUGGCUUACCAAGGCUUUGACGGGUAGCCGGCCUGAGAGGGUGACCGGCCACAUUGGGACUGAGAUACGGCCCAGACUCCUACGGGAGGCAGCAGUGGGGAAUAGUGCACAAUGGGCGGAAGCCUGAUGCAGCAACGCCGCGUGCGGGAUGACGGCCUUCGGGUUGUAAACCGCUUUCGCCUGUGACGAAGCGUGAGUGACGGUAAUGGGUAAAGAAGCACCGGCUAACUACGUG